CCGUCACAACGGCUUCCUGGCGUGGCGGGGUUUUCCCAAUGGAGCG
rnacentral:ncRNA from 1 species